rnacentral:rRNA from 1 species
UACAGAGGGGGCAAGCGUUGUUCGGAAUUACUGGGCGUAAAGCGCGCGUAGGCGGCCUGUUAAGUCGAACGUGAAAUCCCCGGGCUCAACCCGGGAACUGCGUCCGAUACUGGCAGGCUUGAAUCCGGGAGAGGGAUGUGGAAUUCCAGGUGUAGCGGUGAAAUGCGUAGAUAUCUGGAGGAACACCGGUGGCGAAGGCGGCAUCCUGGACCGGUAUUGACGCUGAGGCGCGAAAGCCAGGGGAGCAAACGGG